CGAACGGUAUCCAACCCGGAAGCUGUCACAGGUGCUGCAUGGCUGUCGUCAGCUCGUGUCGUGAGAUGUCGGGUUAAGUCCCAUAACGAGCGAAACCCUUACCUUUAGUUGCUACCGAAAGGGCACUCUAGAGGGACUGCCGGUGUUAAACCGGAGGAAGGUGGGGAUGACGUCAAGUCCUCAUGGCCUUUAUGUCCAGGGCUGCACACGUGCUACAAUGGCGUGAACAAAGUGACGCGACUUUGCGAAAAGAAGCAAAUCACAUAAAUCACGCCCCAGUUCAGAUCGAAGGCUGCAACUCGCCUUCGUGAAGCCGGAAUCGCUAGUAAUCGCGGGUCAGCAACACCGCGGUGAAUGUGUUCCUGAGCCUU
rnacentral:rRNA from 1 species